GGCUUCUCGGUCUUCUGACGACAUUUAAUUUUCUGUGGAGUUAAAGAUAUUCACUUAUAUCAGUAAGACUAAAGAGAGUACCCCCAAAAAAGUAGUACUAAAACCCAUACAAUUUGCAAAGCAAUUAAUGGUGUCAUUUUUAGUGAGUCUGAAAACAAGGCAGGAAGAAUAUAUUUAAAACUCUGCAAUAAAAACAGCUAUAUUAAAAAAUAUUACUUGUUGCUAGCUGAUUAAUUUAUGAUGAAUACUAAAUUUAGAAUAUGAAAGCAACUACAAAGUAUGUUCUUAUAGGAAGUAGCAUGUCACCUACUAUUCUGUGUUAUAACAGAGUGGUCACUACCACUAGGUUUCAAUAAAUCAUUGAUUUUUACAUAAAGAUAAGCGGGAAAAAACUAAAUUUUAAAGACAACCAAUUUAAAAGUAGAAAAGCAGUAUUGCUAGUACAAAAACAUUUUAAAAACCCCACAGCUUUUAAUAAACCUAUCAAAGUCUAUGAUGUUGUAAAGAAUAUUGUAAACAAACUAGUAAAUGUUUAACUGUUGUUAUCUAUAGUUAACUAAAAUGUUAUAUACAUCCUUAUUAAACAGAGCCACCUAGAAAUAGAUGCCUUACCACAGUAAUCACAAGAUAAUUCUCUUUCCCUUCCAGUUGCUUGGGACAUUCCCAGCCCCUUCUCUAGACCCUUGACUCUAUCAGUGGUGACAACAAAAGAAGGAAGGAGGAUUCCAGAUGGGGAAAAGAAAAGGGGUACAUAACCAAAGAGUCCAAUUUCCCAUUGCUGCUAGCAGUAAAAACUCUUGAAAAACCUCA